GUUGAGUUUGAAGAACAAGAAAAACAGUAGAGGCCUACCUAUGGUUAAAGAUGAUGAUCAUAAGUGCAUGCAUCAUUUUGCAGAUUCUCAUCCAGGAUGGUGCAGUUUUACAAUUUCCAUGGAGGUGAUUGAUAAUGAUAAAUAAUUGGUGAAGUAGGCCUAAUAGAACAGUGUCUGGACCACAAAGAGAAAUACAACCUACAGCAGUUAUAUGAGACUGGUGUAACAAAUGCUUUCAUUCAAGAAAUCCAACAAUUCAAAAUUGAAAAAUCUGACUUAGGAAGCACUUGAUGAAAAUGGAAAAGGUUUUUUUUUUCAAGUCC